rnacentral:rRNA from 1 species
AGCGAACGCUGGCGGCAGGCUUAACACAUGCAAGUCGAGCGGGCACUCUCGGGUGUCAGCGGCGGACGGGUGAGUAACGCGUGGGAACGUGCCCUCUGGUUCGGAAUAACUCAGGGAAACUUGAGCUAAUACCGGAUACGCCCUUAUGGGGAAAGGCUUGCUGCCGGAGGAUCGGCUCGCGACUGAUUAGUUAGUUGGUGAGGUAACGGCUCACCAAGGCGACGAUGAGUAGCUGGGCUGAGAGGAAGGGCAGCCACACCGGUGCUAAGACACAGCCCAGACUCCUACGCGAGGGAGGAGAGGGGGAUAUUGGACCAUGGGGGCAGGCCUGAAGCAGCCCUGCCGGGUAAGUGCUCAAGGCCGUAGGGAUGUAAAGCGCUUUUAACCGGGACGGUAAUGACGGUACCGGAGGAAUAAGCCCCGGCUAACUUCGUG